rnacentral:rRNA from 1 species
UAGGGAAUCUUCGGCAAUGGGGGGAACCCUGACCGAGCAACGCCGCGUGAGUGAAGAAGGUUUUCGGACCGUAAAGCUCUGUUGUUAAGGAAGAACGAGUGUGAGAAUGGAAAGUUCAUACUGUGACGGUACUUAACCAGAAAGGGACGGCUAACUACGUGCCAGCAGCCGCGGUAAUACGUAGGUCCCGAGCGUUGUCCGGAUUUAUUGGGCGUAAAGCGAGCGCAGGCGGUUAGAUAAGUCUGAAGUUAAAGGCAGUGGCUCAACCAUUGUAGGCUUUGGAAACUGUUUAACUUGAGUGCAGAAGGGGAGAGUGGAAUUCCAUGUGUAGCGGUGAAAUGCGUAGAUAUAUGGAGGAACACCGGUGGCGAAAGCGGCUCUCUGGUCUGUAACUGACGCUGAGGCUCGAAAGCGUGGGGAGCGAACAGG